GAUUUCCUGCCUGGGCUGGUUUCAAACUGAAAUCCUCAGAUCUCAACCACUUGAGUAGUUAGGAUUACAGACAUGAGCCCUUAGUGCCCCACCAGUGCUGGUAAUUUCGUUUAAGCUUUUCUGACUAGUAUUUGAGAUUGACAAAAGCAAGUUUGAUGAUAUCCUUCUAUUUUUUCCAGCAAGACAGCAAGUUGUCUGGUAUUCUGGCAUUGUUACUCACUCACUAUGGCUUCCCCAUGGACAACACAGCAUUCCAGACUAUGAGGAGUGAGCUGACCCUUCAACUUGGCUGUUUUAUGUAAUCAUCAGAAACUCAAGGGAAAUAGUUACAUCACAUUUGAUCCUAACCUCCAAGACUGUGAUUUUAGAACAUGCUGUGUUGCCAGUUCCUGUAUUUAGCCCUCUAUAGGGUGGCUUGAUUUUAUAUGUGCAAGUCGAUCUCACACUAUCUUUGUAGGAGGAAUUUAUAUCAAGCACAGUAACAACUGUGGUCUUUCCAGGGGUCAGAGAAUACAUCUGCUUUUUUGGGAGAACCAUUUUGAAGUGGAGAGAAAAAGAUAACAUGUAACUAUGCAUUACAGAUAUGCAUUCCCUUUCAGUUAUAAUAAUGGCUAGAACAUUCUUCAGUCCAUGUUGUUAUGUCUCCAGCAAUGAUUUCCCUCGCUUGAGGAAUAUGAUGUUGGCUCUUUAAAAUUUCAUAGCCAAGUACCAGUGUCUUACACUUGUAAUCCUACUUACUCAAGAAGCUGAGAUCUGAAGAUCGUGGUGCAAAGCCAACCCGGGGCCCACAAAUCCAAGAAAGUCUUGGCUUCAUUUAGCCAACAAAAAGCCAAAGUGGAGGUAUGGCUCUGAACAUAAGGGAGAAUGUGAGGCCCUGAUUUCAAAUCCAGUACUGCCAUAAAAACAAGCAAACAAACAACAAGGCAAAAUGUUACCUAAUUUUUAAACCCCGCCUUCCUAGGAAAUUGUGACAGUUGUGAAAUUGUGACAGACUGAAAGACCAUGUGAGGUUGUGGGUUAAGGACUCUCCUGGGAAGGCAGGUGGUAGUAACCUCCAAGGAAAUCCCUUGGGGGCCCUUUGGAAAGUCAGCUCCUGGAACAAAGGUGGUCACUGGGUGCUCCAUAUUCAUGGAGCUUGCAGGCUCCCCUGCAAGCCAGGCUUGCAAAUAAUUUCCUUCCUCAGGAGAAUAGAGCAGCUGUGAGCUAAACAUUAACAUCAGGCCUUUUAAAAAUAGAGAUUGGCUUUUAAGAAACACUUGCCCUUUGGACAGGCUAAUAGAAGCAUGGAUUUAUUUCAGUGUCUAACCCCAAGAGAAGAGGGAUGAGGAAGAAGAGGUAGAAGAGAAGUCUUAUUGGAAAACGUGCUUUAGGGAAAUAUUAUUUCAUUUUUGCCUACAGUGGACUGGGUGUAUGGCAUUUGGGGAGCUCACAGGCCCUGCCUCACCCCCAGUUCAAAGCUGAGGAGUCAGCCCACCAUGGGCUGAAAACUCCCAAACCACAAGCUAAACACAUCUUCCUGAAGCU